rnacentral:rRNA from 1 species
GUGCAGCAGUCGCGCAACCUCUGCAAUACGCGCAAGCGUGACGAGGGAACCCCAAGUACUCUUGCUUUUUGCAGGAGUUUUUGCCAAGUGUAAACAGCUUGGAGAAUAAGGAGAGGGCAAGUCUGGUGUCAGCCGCCGCGGUAAUACCAGCUCUCCGAGUGGUAGGGACGAUUAUUGGGCUUAAAGCGUCCGUAGCCGGCUCAGCAAGUCUCCCGUUAAAUCCAACGAUUCAAUCGUUGGACUGCGGGAGAUACUGUUGAGCUAGGAGGCGGGAGAGGCCGACGGUAUUCCCGGAGUAGGGGUGAAAUCUUAUAAUUCCGGGAGGACCACCAGUGGCGAAGGCUGUCGGCUAGAACGCGCUCGACGGUGAGGGACGAAAGCUGGGGGAGCGAACCGGAUUAGAUACCCCGGUAGUCC